CAAGACUGAUUAAUCACUUGUUUAAUUAAUCAUUCAAAAACAAUACUGAUUAAUCAUUUGUUGAAUCGAUUAAUCAACACGAUACAAUAUUGAUUAAGCCUGGUGUUGGCUUAACGGUCAAGGUGGCUGAUCUCAAGCUCUUGAGUUUGAGCCCCCUGUCGUAUUGUUGAAAUAACACCUGGUGGGUUGAUUUAGCCUGUCAACCUUCCAAGAUCGGUAAAAUGGGCACCAGCUUACUGGAGUAAUAAGCCAUUUGAGUUACAUAUGUAAUGUGCCUCAUGACAUGAAAGGAAUGGUUUGGUUUUAUACAAUACUGACAAAUCAUUUGUUUUAUUCUUUAAUCAUUAAAAAGCAAUUCUGACUUUUUUUUCUUCUUCUUCUUUAAUCCAGUGGUUCCCAAAGUUGUUGUUUUUUGUCCACGACCCAAAAUUAGAAAUCACAUUCGCUUCGCGACCCAAAUGGUACCGGUACCUACUUGGUACAUGUACUAUUGAUAAAAAAAUUGUCGGAGAAAACGCUUACGACGUGAAAACCCCCUCUCAAAAACAGGGAUUUUUGAAGGGGGGUUUUCAAGUUUGGAGCAUGACCCUGGGUUUGGGAACCCCUGCUUUAAUCGUUACAAUCACCAUAGAACUGGCUCACACACAGCAGCCCACACUGCAUGAAUCAGACAUCUUACAGCAUGGCUUCGACAGUAAAUACACGAUAUUGUUAAACCAAAGUUUAUAAAAGUUGUAAACUUUGAAACAACGAUGAAAGUCGAGUGAUGGAUUCAUUAUAACCUUGUUAUCAAUAAUGUCCUGCCUAUCCCUUAUUAGAGCUUGAGCAGUAACUGUUAUGGUUACUUUGAGAUGAGCUUGCCUUCUGUGUAGCUAAGUGGCAUUUCACUUUGUUGACAAGAGACCUUUUAUCUUCAGCCGAUCAUUUGCAAUGUGGUUUGGACGAUGCUUCAAUGCCGAAAUGAUCUGGAUAAUCUGCUGAAACAACUCCAUGAGAUGCAUCCUAUGUACAAUUUCACCAAAUCCUUGAUAAAUUCUCUAUCGAGUACACUCCAUCAUCUGAAUAUGGGUGGUGAUUCUGCUGAUAACGGGAUGCACGAGCACCUAAAGAAUAAAAAAACACCAGCAUCACUGAUCGUGGAAAUGCAAGGCCUCUUCAGCAUUCUGCAAAGCACGGGAUUAAACAACUUUCAUGAGUGGAAUUGUUCCGAUCGCAGUCAAUUCCACGAUUCUGUCUCAGCAUUGCCUACUUCAGUCUAUGAUCAGCCUGCAACCACUCUGACUACAAAAACAAUGGCACCAACACCAACAUUUUCACCUCCACAAACAUCAGCAGCUCUUCCACAUCCUCGAUCCACUGCCAGUUCUGUGACCGAGCCUUUUUACAUCCACAACAAUGCAGACAUAACACCUAACAGCGAUGCUGAUGUGCACCACAGUUUCUCAGAAGACACAGCAUCGACCACGGACAAAGAUGGGCGCGCAGCUUCCACUCCUGCCUCUGAAAGUUCCGUUGGCAAUACUAUUGAGGAAACCACGAAAAAUGCGGACAAGGUACUUCCGAGCACGGUUUCAAUCACCAUCGUGGAGAAAAAAAGGAGUUUAAAGUUAUUACCAACGAAGAAAACGAUACCCACACACCAUACAAUUGGCAAACGAGACACACACAACCGAAGCCUUAGAGGUGGUGAAGCACAGACUCCACCGAUUGCUACCCCAAAUCCUCAAGGGUCCACUUCGACGGCUCAUCAGCUGCAUCUCACAUCCUGGGGACUUGUCUUUGCUCUCCUCUCGCCCAUUCUCUCAAACAUAGCAUGAGAUUCCCGACGUUUCAUUUUCCUCUCAGUAUUAUUUUGCGGACAUUGAAAAAACAGAUCUACGAGGAAAUACCAGGAAACUUAGACAAGAGUCCACAGUUACUUGUAUCUUCCAUUUUUGUAGGUGUGCUUGAUAUUUAGUAUUCGACGAGGGAAGUGUUUCAAUUCUCUCGUAUUGCUUAAAAUCUCCUAAGAUGGGUAUCGGAAGGUAGAACAAGACCCUUGACAUAGGGUCCCCUGAGUAAUCGGUUUCUUUUUCUUCGAGGUUCACCUUUCAUAGACCGAGUUGUGAUGUUAUCAAGUUCUAGUACAAAACGUUUUCAGGUGUUCCGUGUCAUAGCAGCGGCUCAAAGGACUCUCUUAAGGAAGUUAAUCCAGCUGUGUCGACUUCAUUGCUUUGUAGAUGACGUAUGAGUAUCGGGUUGUUAUUUUUUUGUCCAGGUGUUCAUGCAGGUACCAUGAAGUUGCUAAUUUAGUUCAUUUUGAGGUUGCCAAUUCCUCAAUUGGUGGGACACUCGGUGAAGCACAGGCAGAUUUGGGUGGUCAGAUUUGUUCAGACGAAACCUCGCACCUUUAUUAAGGUACUAAUGCAUCUUUUAUUUGUAAUAUUAUUAUUGUGAGGAUGUGGCCUCAAUGCCUACAGUUGCGCACUAAGGAGGAAUUUCAUUUACUUGAGUGAGUUUUGUUCCACUUGUUUUUCAGGUUGUGUUGUGUGCAUAGGAAAAAUGUCUUACACCUGUGUUGUAAAACGGUGUCCCGAUUGAAACAAACACAUUUUAUUGUUUCAGAGCAAAAUUACAGUCUCGACUCUAGUGUGAUCUGUUGUAAUUACCACAAAUUAUCCACUGAUGUCAUGUGGGACGACAUUGCCUCUUGACAUCAUAUUGCUAUCCCUACGUGUUGUUUGAUGGAAACAUGAUUGUGCACAAUGGAUUAUAAAAUAAAUUAUUUUCUUUAAUCUCCUUAAUGUUGACAAGAUGGCUUAGAGGUAGGUACGCACACUCGCUUCAAGGUUGUCUAGCCUGGGUUCGAUUUCCGACCCAACUAUGAACCGUCAGUCUGGUGUUUCACAGGCAGGGUGAUUCAUCAAUGUGUGCUGUCCCUUGGAAGGACGUCAAACGGACGUCCCGUCUGUUAGUAUUAGUUGAUGGACGUUAAAGAUCCCAUGGUGUCCUUCUUCAAGAGUAGGCAAGGUAUCGUCGGUACCAUGGCCAAAUUCCAAAUUCCUGCCCCCAACAAGUCGAGCAUCAGGCCUGGCCAGCCUGUUCGUGAAGACUCGGGCCAAGCCUCCCCUGGCCGCCCCCACAACAAAGGUGGGAUAUUGGUGGCCAUUAAAGAAGAAUUCGAAUUUUCCAAAUCUUGAGCUGUUGCAGCACUUUUAAACGAUUAUCUAACCCUAACCCUAACGUCAAUUUCACAGUGUCCAUGAGUGACAGGUGUGAAGCGAGGCCACCAGGCCAUAGGAGAAAGCAGUACUUCACAGUCAACGGCCUUGUAGCCAAUGGGAAGCUCAGUUUUACAAAGAGUCAAGCACCUGGGCAUCCAAAGUUAAGUGGCACGGACAGUAUUUGUUCUGAUGAUCAGACACCAGGCCAUCUGAGUAGAGUAAAUGUUUAACUUAGAAACUAAAUAGCUUUCGCCAAAAUACAAUUAAUUAACCAUGGUGGAGUCACAUUAAUGGUGGUGACAUAUGAAUUAUCUUGGUGGGAUCCCAUAAGCCCUAUGGCAGGGAAUAGAGCUCUCAUGACAAGUCGUGAGUGUUUCGAAGGAUAUAGUUAAUCCAGGACAGGUCACCACUCCAUUGUAGGGUGUAGCGUUUCCUCUUGGCAGCUUUGCUAAUUGAGCCUACACUAGUGGGAGCAAAUCAAUAAGACUUUAUCCAUGCCACCACCCAACAAGGCUUUACCCACUCCACCACCCAACAAAGCUUUACCCACUCCACCACCCAACACAUCCUUACCCAUUCCACCACCCAACACAUCCUUACCCAUUCCACCACCCAACAAGGCUUUAUAUCCACUCUACCACUGAAUUAAUCAAGCUCUGGCCAUACCAACACUGAACCACUCACUGUUCACUCCGAGGAAUUGUGAAAUUGAACAUUUGUAAAUACUUUACAUAAUAUCAUAUUCAUUUAUGCUUCUCAUUCUUGUUGACCUCAUACCUCCCCUCCAUUUCCCGCCCAAAGAACAACAACGAUGUGUGUGAUAAAGCUGUGAAUUUACAUUUUAUUUACCUUGCAAAGUUUGUUUUAUAUUUUUAUCAAAUUAUUUAUGUCGAUGUUGUAUUUUUUUAAACAACUGUUACAAUGAAAUAAAUAUUGUUCAGAGCCCCAUU
ensembl:lincRNA